GCAGAGCACUCCUACGGGAGGCAGCAGUGGGGAAUAUUGGACAAUGGGGGAAACCCUGAUCCAGCCAUGCCGCGUGUGUGAAGAAGGCCUUCGGGUUGUAAAGCACUUUCAGUCGGGGAGAAAGGUUGUUGGUUAAUACCUAACAGCUGUGACGUUACCCACAGAAGAAGCACCCGGCUAACUCCGUGCCAGCAGCCGCGGUAAUACGGAGGGUGCAAGCGUUAAUCGGAAUUACUGGGCGUAAAGCGUGCGCAGGCGGUCUGUUAAGCGAGAUGUGAAAGCCCCCGGGGCUCAACCUGGGAACUGCAUUUCGAACUGGCAGACUAGAGUCUUGUAGAGGGGGUAGAAUUCCAGGUGUAGCGGUGAAAUGCGUAGAGAUCUGGAGGAAUACCGGUGGCGAAGGCGGCCCCCCUGGACAAAGACUGACGCUCAGGCACGAAAGCGUGGGGAGCAAACAGGAUUAGAUACCCUCGGUAG
rnacentral:rRNA from 1 species